rnacentral:rRNA from 1 species
CUAGCGACUUCAGAGUUUGAUCCUGGCUCAGGAUGAACGCUGGCGGCGUGCAUAACACAUUCAAGUCGAACGGUGACGGGGGCUUCGGCCCCUGAUCAGUGGCGGACGGGUGAGUAACGCGUGAGUAACCUGCCUAUGCGUGUGGAAUAACACAGGGAAACUUGUGCUAAUACCGCAUAAUAUGUAUUUUUCGCAUGUAAGAUACAUCAAAGAGCAAUUGCGCAUAGAUGGACUCGCGUCUGAUUAGAUAGUUGGUGGGGUAACGGCCUACCAAGUCGACGAUCAGUAGCCGAACUGAGAGGUUGAACGGCCACAUUGGAACUGAGAAACGGUCCAG